rnacentral:lncRNA from 1 species
CCUUUGAGUAAUAAUAGAAAGAGCAUUGUGGUGAAACUGCAUUCCAGAAUGUUCUAACCCAUAAGAGUGAGAUGUCAAAAAAAAAAAAAAAAAAAAAAGAGCACAUGGAGAGAAAACCAAGUCAGUUAUCAGAUUGAGCUGACCUAGCCCAUCUCUUUCCUAACUUUCAGUAUGGAAAAUACUGGGCUAUUUGGACCUUUCAUUUAGGAAAGCAAUGGUUAAACAGAGAAGGAGAAUAACAAUUAAGGAGUUGCCUCUAUGCAAGAGAUUGCUUUGAGAACUUCCAAAUGGCUCCUUCCUAUAGGACAGAGAGGGAAACAAGCUCUACACUCUCACUAGCAAACUCAAAGAUCCAGGACUUCCUGGGAAUUGAGACAUAA